rnacentral:misc_RNA from 1 species
GUAUUGAUUCGCGCGUGAUCGCGCAAAGAACAUUCUACACUAGGGUGUUUGAUGUUUAAAAACGUGAGCACCCCCCUCCGAGGAAGGGGGGACACACGCGGUGAUGCACAAAGGGUGAAAUGGAUUGAGAGCACUCAGGCGUGCACGACCAAAAAGGUCAGCGACAACCUGAGCACCUCUGUGGUACGAUAAUGAUCCUUCCGCAGGUUCACCUACGGAAA